UAAGCCAUGCAUGUCUCAGUACAAGCCAAAYUAAGGUGAAACCGCGAAAGGCUCAUUAAAUCAGUUAUGGUUCCKUAGAUCGUACCCACAAUUACUUGGAUAACUGUGGUAAUUCUAGAGCUAAUACAUGCAAACAGAGCUCCGACCGGAGACGGAAGGAGUGCUUUUAUUAGAUCAAAACCAAUCGGUGGCGGGUUCGCUCGUUAUCGUACAACUUGGUGACUCUGAAUAACUUUACGCUGAUCGCACGGUCAUCGCACCGGCGACGCAUCUUUCAAAUGUCUGCCUUAUCAACUGUCGAUGGUAGGUUCUGCGCCUACCAUGGUUGUAACGGGUAACGGGGAAUCAGGGUUCGAUUCCGGAGAGGGAGCCUGAGAAACGGCUACCACAUCCAAGGAAGGCAGCAGGCGCGCAAAUUACCCACUCCCGGCACGGGGAGGUAGUGACGAAAAAUAACGAUACGGGACUCAUCCGAGGCCCCGUAAUCGGAAUGAGUACACUCUAAACCCUUUAACGAGGAUCAAUUGGAGGGCAAGUCUGGUGCCAGCAGCCGCGG
rnacentral:rRNA from 1 species